rnacentral:lncRNA from 1 species
CAACCCCUUUUGUUAAAUCUCAGGAGGGACAAGAACUCAGUUGUUUUUGUUGGUGUGGACUUGUAUGCAGAUGUUUUUAAUACUCUCUCCUCAUUUACCAGGUUGGAAGGUGAAAACUUUCAAAUGGACACUUUGCAAUCAGGGACAACAGGAAAGUUCAUGUUCAGUACAGUGAAAUAUUACACCCUGUACUCUUGCCUCACCACUGCAGAGGGCCCUGGCCUUUGAAGAAACUAAAUGAAUUGCAGCAUCAUGGGGGUGGUGCUGAGUGGGUUCAACCUGGAGCCUCAGCCCAUCUGACCCAGAUUCAGCACACAGACUCCACAAAACAGCCAUGUGGUGUCAUGGCUAAAAGAGUGUGGACCCUGAGUCAUAUGACUGGGCUAGUAUCUUGGUGCUACCCAUCCCAACUGCAUAAAUUUAAACAAGAUACUUAACCUGUGCUUGGACUCCUUCACUGUGGAUCUGGGAGUUCGUGCCUAGCUCCCUAGGUGUCAUGGAAAGAAAGGUCCACAUGCACAACAAGCCUGCACUUGG